rnacentral:lncRNA from 1 species
GCGAUACGAACGUGUGUCAACUAUCUCAAACUUUGAAGAAGUGCUAGACGUCACAAAAAUCAGUAAGCGCUAUGAGAGGGAGCAUUUAUGCAAAUUCUCUGUGGAAGGGACAGCAAUGACUGUGGGCGGAGCUGGUAUUUUUUUU